GUGGGGAAUAUUGGACAAUGGGCGAAAGCCUGAUCCAGCCAUGCCGCGUGUGUGAAGAAGGUCUUCGGAUUGUAAAGCACUUUAAGUUGGGAGGAAGGGCAGUAAGUUAAUACCUUGCUGUUUUGACGUUACCGACAGAAUAAGCACCGGCUAACUUCGUGCCAGCAGCCGCGGUAAUACGAAGGGAGCAAGCGUUAAUCGGAAUUACUGGGCGUAAAGCGCGCGUAGGUGGUUUUGUAAGUUGGAGGUGAAAUCCCCGGGCUCAACCGGGGAACUGCCUCAAAAACUGCAUGACUAGAGUACGGUAGAGGGUAGUGGAAUUUCCUGUGUAGCGGUGAAAUGCGUAGAUAUAGGAAGGAACACCAGUGGCGAAGGCGACUACCUGGACUGAUACUGACACUGAGGUGCGAAAGCGUGGGGAGCAAACAGGAUUAGAAACCCUAGUAGUCC
rnacentral:rRNA from 1 species